GCUUAAUAUUAAAAAUAAAUAAUUACACGGUGAAACACAAACAGGAACUGUAAUUCGUAGUAUUCACAUCUCCUUAGAUAAAGCAAAAUAAUAAGUAAGUUGCUCGAACGUGACCUCUACUGGAUUUCGAAAUUCCUUAAACUAGCGUUCCUUUAAUAUUUUAUUUUCGAAUGAUUCUUUUCAAAUAUUCUAUAAGAUUGUCAAAAAGUAGUUUGUCAAAUAUUUAAAAUUAAUAACUUUAAUAUAGAAUAUGCUUAAAUUUUCUCUUAAAAUGUAUUGUAAAUAUAUACAUUUUCAUUAAAAAGGAAUAUUUCUAUGUCUCUUUAAAACAGAAGAUUCUAGGAAGGUAUAACUUCUUAAUUACGUCACGAUUAAUUUUAUCUCAUAGUACUAUUGUCCAUCUUGUCAAGAUAUGAUCACAUAAAAGUAGGUGAAGUGUAAGUAGCAACUGAUACGCUUUUACGAUCGUUUCACAGACUGGCGUCAUGCUUGUCUGUAGCCUCCAAAGCAAACAAAUAAUGAUGGGUAAAUGAGAUGCAAUGGCAGCUUAGUAUGGUAGGGCUGACUACAACAUUUCAAAGGAGUGAAUAAAAUGUAAUUUUGAAUAAAUUCGUGAUGCGCUGAUACAUUUAUUAAAACACGAAAUAAAUUUAAUAAAGAAAAUAAUAAAUGAACUGGAAACUUUAUGUACGUAUCUUAUGUUAGGCUGUAAAAAUGAAAAUUCGUCAAAGCAACUGAAACCAACUAAUACAUCACUUUCGAAAAUAAAUAUACAAUAAAAACUUGUCACUUUUUGUGCAAACUAGUCAAUGUACAUACGUGUAUAUAUUACAAAAUGAUCAAACAUCAAUAAUUAAGGUUUGUAUAUUUCGUAUAUUUUAAAUUAUUAAAUAAUUUCAGUAAUUCUAAAUAAUACCUAAACUAAAUGGAAUUGCUUUCUAAUUGUUAGAUAUGUACAAACGCUUGUUUCGAUAAUUAAUAUAAACAUAUUAACGAUGAUUAAUAUAUUUUAUAACUAUUUGAAAUAUAAGAAAUAACCACAUUAAAAGGAUGUAUUCGUCAAUACUUUUUGUCUAUUGAUAUACAACGACGCAGA